rnacentral:rRNA from 1 species
CAAUAGCGUAUAUUAAAGUUGUUGCAGUUAAAAAGCUCGUAGUUGGAUUUGUGGCGUACGGUGUGUUCCGGGCACUUGUUGUCUGAGUAACCUGCUGUUGCCAUCCUUGGGUGGAACCUGUGUGGCAUUAGGUUGUCGUGCAGGGGAUGCCCAUCAUUUACUGUGAAAAAAUUAGAGUGUUCAAAGCAGGCUUAUGCCGUUGAAUAUAUUAGCAUGGAAUAAUGAGAUAGGACUUUUUUGCUAUUUUGUUGGUUUGCGCAAAGAGGUAAUGAUUAAUAGGGACAGUUGGGGGUAUUCGUAUUCCAUUGUCAGAGGUGAAAUUCUUGGAUUUUUGGAGGACGAACUACUGCGAAAGCAUUUACCAAGGAUGUUUUCAUUAA